rnacentral:piRNA from 1 species
UCCAAGUAUUGUUUAAUUGUUACCUAGGU